rnacentral:ncRNA from 1 species
AAGUUGUUUUAUUUUAGCAAAAAAAGUUUGUUUAUAGUUUAUUUUACAUGUAAAUUUUUGUGUGAGUAAUAAAUUAUCUAAAUGAUAAUUUAAAAAUAUUUAUUCGCAGUGAUUAAUAUUAAUUAUUAAAGAAAUUUAGAGUUAGUAAUGUUAUUUAAUAUUAGCAAAAUUUGUGCCAGCUGCUGCGGUUAGACAAAAAAUAUAAAUAAAUUGAUUUAGAUUAUAAUUAAAUUGUAAAAUUGUAAAAAAAUUAAAUUUAUUAGGUGAAAUUUUAAAUUUAAUAAAUUAUAUAAUUAAAAUAUUGAAAUUGUGAAAUUUUAAGAUUAAACUAGGAUUAGAUACCCUAUUAUUUAAAAUGUAAAUUAAUAAUCUAGAAUAGUAUUAGUUAUGUUCUUGAAAUUUAAAAAAUUUGGCGGUAUUUUAGUCUAUUCAGAGGAACCUGUUUUAUAAUUGAUAAUCCACGUUGGACCUUACUUAAUUUAAUUUGUUUGUAUACCGCCGUCGUCAGAAUGUCUUAAAAAAGAAAUAAUUUUCUAAAAUUUUAAAUAUAAAUUAUGUCAGGUCAAGGUGCAGCUUAUAAUUAAGAAAAAAUGGGUUACAAUAAAAUUAUUUAUGGAUAAAAAAUUGAAAUAUUUGUUUAAAAUUGGAUUUGAUAGUAAAAUAAAAAAGAAAAAUUAUUUGAUUAUAGCUCUAAAAUAUGCACAUAUCGCCCGUCGCUCUCGUUAUUAAGAUGAGAUAAGUCGUAACAUAGUAGAUGUACCGGAAGGUGUAUCUAGAAAGA